rnacentral:rRNA from 1 species
GAUGAACGCUAGCGGCAGGCUUAAUACAUGCAAGUCGAGGGGCAGCAUGAUUGUAGCAAUACAAUUGAUGGCGACCGGCAAACAGGUGCGGAACACGUACACAAUCUCCCAAUAAGUGGGAAAUAGCCCAGAGAAAUUUGGAUUAAUACCCCGUAACAUAACGAUGUGGCAUCACAUUGUUAUUAUAGAUUUUUCGCUUAUUGAUGGGUGUGCGGCUGAUUAGAUAGUUGGCGGGGUAACGGCCCACCAAGUCUACGAUCAGUAGCUGAUGUGAGAGCAUGAUCAGCCACACGGGCACUGAGACACGGGCCCGACUCCUACGGGAGGCAGCAGUAAGGAAUAUUGGACAAUGGACGCAAGUCCGAUCCAGCCAUGCCGCGUGAAGGAUUAAGGUCCUCUGGAUUGUAAACUUCUUUUAUAAGGGACGAAAAAAGGCUUUUCUAAGUCGUCUGACGGUACCUUAUGAAUAAGCACCGGCUAACUCCGUGCCAGCAGCCGCCGUAAGAC